rnacentral:rRNA from 1 species
AUNCUGCUCUAAAUGGGAGGUAUAUGUCUUCUAAAGCUAAAUACCGGCCAGAGACCGAUAGCGCACAAGUAGAGUGAUCGAAAGAUGAAAAGAACUUUGAAAAGAGAGUUAAACAGUACGUGAAAUUGUUGAAAGGGAAGCGCUUGUGACCAGACUUGGGCAUGGUUGAUCAUCCGGGGUUCUCCCCGGUGCACUCUNCCGGCCCAGGCCAGCAUCAGUUCGCCCUGGGGGACAAAGGCAUCGGGAACGUCGCUCUCUCCGGGGAGUGUUAUAGCCCGUUGCGUAAUACCCUGCGGCGGACUGACGUUCGCCCAUUCGCAAGGAUGCUGGCGUAAUGGUCAUCAGUGACCCGUCUUGAAACACGGACCAAGGAGACGUCUUCGUAUGCGAGUGUUCGGGUGUCAAACCCCUACGCGAAAUCAAAGUGAACGCAGGUGAGAGCUUCGGCGCAUCAUCGACCGAUCCUGAUGUUAUCGGAUGGAUUUGAGUAAGAGCAUACGGGGCCGGACCCGAAAGAAGGUGAACUAUGCCUGUGUAGGGUGAAGCCAGAGGAAACUCUGGUGGAGGCUCGCAGCGGUUCUGACGUGCAAAUCGAUCGUCAAACAUGGGCAUGGGGGCGAAAGACUAAUCGAUCUUACUCNNNUG